rnacentral:rRNA from 1 species
UACGGAAGGGGCAAGCGUUGUUCGGAAUCAUUGGGCGUAAAGGGCGCGUAGGUGGUUCUGUAUGUCUAUCGUGAAAGCAUACAGCUCAACUGUAUUUUGUCGGUAGAAACUGCAGGACUUGAGGCUGGGAGGGGCUGGUGGAAUUCCCUGUGUAGCGGUGAAAUGCGUAGAGAUGGGGGAGAACACUCGUGGCGAAGGCGGCCAGCUAGACCAGUUCUGACACUGAGGCGCGACAGCGUGGGGAGUAAACAGG